AUGUUGGGCUGGUUGCUCCGUUAUAUGCAUGCUAAUGGGGCAAGUAUGUUUCUCAUUGUGGUUCACCUUCAUAUUUUUCGUGGUCUAUAUCAUGCGAGUUAUAGCAGUCCUAGGGAAUUUGUUCGGUGUCUCGGAGUUGUCAUAUUCCUAUUAAUGAUUGUGACAGCUUUUAUAGGAUAUGUACCACCUUGGGGUCAGAUGAGCUUUUGGGGAGCAACAGUAAUUACAAGCUUAGCUAGCGCCAUACCAGUAGUAGGAGAUACCAUAGUGACUUGGCUUUGGGGUGAUUUCUCCGUGGACAAUGCCACCUUAAAUCGUUUUUUUAGUCUCCAUCAUUUACUCCCCCUUAUUUUAGUAGGGAUGUCCGUUCUCUCUUCCCGUUUCCUGGAAGCAAGAUUUGCAGAGAGCCACAACUUCAGUUUUGCUUGUGUUAAUUCAUCAAUUCCAUCCUCACAUCCGGCAUAG
rnacentral:rRNA from 1 species